rnacentral:rRNA from 1 species
UACGGGGGGGGCAAGCGUUGUCCGGAAUUACUGGGCGUAAAGAGCGCGCAGGCGGUCGUUCAAGUCGAGUGUGAAAGCCCCCGGCUCAACUGGGGAGGGUCAUUCGAUACUGAUCGACUCGAAGGCAGGAGAGGGAAGUGGAAUUCCCGGUGUAGUGGUGAAAUGCGUAGAUAUCGGGAGGAACACCAGUGGCGAAGGCGACUUCCUGGCCUGUUCUUGACGCUGAGGCGCGAAAGCUAGGGGAGCAAACGGG